rnacentral:rRNA from 1 species
AUACGGAGGAUGCAAGCGUUAUCCGGAUUUAUUGGGUUUAAAGGGUGCGUAGGCGGUUUGCUAAGCGGGAGGUGAAAUGCCGGCGCUCAACGUCGGAAGUGCCUCCCGAACUGGUGGACUGGAAUGACUCUGCCGUGGGAGGAAUGUGUAGUGUAGCGGUGAAAUGCUUAGAGAUUACACAGAACACCGAUUGCGAAGGCAUCUCACGAAGGGUUGAUUGACGCUGGGGCACGAAAGCGUGGGGAUCAAACAGGAUUAGAUACCCUGGUAGUCCACGCAGUAAACGAUGAUGGCUAACCGCUGGGCUUAUCAGUUCAGUGGCCAAGCGAAAGCGAUAAGCCAUCCACCUGGGGAGUACGACCGCAAGGUUGAAACUCAAAUGAAUUGACGGGG